rnacentral:rRNA from 1 species
AGGUUGUCCUGAUGGCUCACAUGAAGUUUCGUGCCGUUCCGACCUCGUUUGAUACGGUUAUGGUUAACCACACGGCCCCUCGGGCCCGACCCGAGCCCAGUCAACGUUUUGACCCGAUCAAAUCGGCCCGUGACCCGAAACGACCCUACUUGGGCCCUACAACAGCCACGUAAAGUUUCGGGAUGAUCCGACGUUCUUUCAUGGGGUUACGGACAAUCCACGCCAAAACAAGGCGUCACGGGCCGACCGAGCCGGGCCAACGGGCCCCUCGGGACCCGAAAACUGAAGUUUUUUUCAUCCAAACCCAUUAAAACACGUUACCGAGGUCUCACGCAAAAUUUCAUGCCAAUCCGACGUCGUUUGAUGGGGUUUUGAGAUAUUAUGAUUCCUCAAAAAUUUAAUGUCUGUUCCUGUCACUUAGCUUUUUGUGCAAAAUGUAUAUAUAGGGGAGGGGUGGGUGUUGAGCAGCCCAUGCCCGGGCAAGGCAUGCCGAGCGCCCAAGCCAAAGGAGGCUGGUGGCGUGCGUAUAACAGCUCAAAUGCCCCAACGAUGACCGAGAACAAGCGCCCAUCUCCCCUCCUUCCCCCCCACCAAGCGCCCCUCCCCCCCCAUGUUUGCCUGCCCACUCGCACAGCUACUCGUGAUUUCAUGCCCAGCGACUAGUGAAUGUGCCUCGACGACCAGCAAACCUCGAAAAUUAUGAUUCCUCGUAAAAUUAAUGUCUGUUUCCUGUCACUUUACUUUUUGUGCAAAAUGUAUAUAUAGGGGAGACCAGGGGCUUGAGCAACCCCUGUGCCCAAGCAAGGGUCAGAUGGAAGCACACGAGACGCGAGGUUUAAAGCCUAUACAAGCAAGGCGUCUGUCUCCCCAAGCCCCAUUGCCUAUAAAACAAGCCCGAUGCCUUGUAAAUGCCCCACACGAUGCCUAUAAACGACAACGAUGUUUGCUAGUUAAUCGAUCGACGCCCCACACCUUGCAGCAUGUUGCCUAGUAAACAAGCCAUGCUGCCUUGGAAGCGCCCCACAUCAUGGCAUGUUGCCUAGCACGCUGCCCUUGUUUCCAGCACGGCGACCUGAAAGCGUGGCCUGACGACGUGCCUUGCCUUCGAAAAUUAUGAUUCCUCAAAAAAUUAAUGUCUGUUCCUGUCACUUUACUUUUUGU